GACGAAGGUGGCGAGCGUUAUUCGGAUUUACUGGGCAUAAAGCGCGCGUAGGCGGCUCGGUCAGUCGGAGGUGAAAGCCCACAGCUUAACUGUGGAACUGCCCUCGAUACUGCCGAGCUUGAGUGCAGGAGAGGUGACCGGAACUCCAGGUGUAGCGGUGAAAUGCGUAGAUAUCUGGAGGAACACCAGAGGCGAAGGCGGGUCACUGGACUGCAACUGACGCUGAGGUGCGAAAGCUAGGGGAGCGAAC
rnacentral:rRNA from 1 species